rnacentral:rRNA from 1 species
AACGAACGCUGGCGGCGUGUUUAACACAUGCAAGUCGAACGGUAAGGCCCUUCGGGGUGCACGAGUGGCGAACGGGUGAGUAACACGUGGGUGAUCUGCCCUGCACUUCGGGAUAAGCCUGGGAAACUGGGUCUAAUACCGGAUAGGACCACUGCCUGCAUGGGUGGUGGUGGAAAGCUUUUGCGGUGUGGGAUGGGCCCGCGGCCUAUCAGCUUGUUGGUGGGGUGAUGGCCUACCAAGGCGACGACGGGUAGCCGGCCUGAGAGGGUGACCGGCCACACUGGGACUGAGAUACGGCCCAGACUCCUACGGGAGGCAGCAGUGGGGAAUAUUGCACAAUGGGCGCAAGCCUGAUGCAGCGACGCCGCGUGAGGGAUGACGGCCUUCGGGUUGUAAACCUCUUUCAGCGCCGACGAAGCGCAAGUGACGGUAGGUGCAGAAGAAGGACCGGCUAACUACGUGCCAGCCGCCGCAGUAA